rnacentral:rRNA from 1 species
AGCAGUCGCCGCGGGAACACGAAGGGGGCUAGCGUUGUUCGGAAUUACUGGGCGUAAAGCGUGCGCAGGCGGUGUUGUAAGACUGAUGUGAAAUCCCCGGGCUCAACCUGGGAACUGCAUUGGUGACUGCAACGCUGGAGUGCGGCAGAGGGGGAUGGAAUUCCGCGUGUAGCAGUGAAAUGCGUAGAUAUGCGGAGGAACACCGAUGGCGAAGGCAAUCCCCUGGGCCUGCACUGACGCUCAUGCACGAAAGCGUGGGGAGCAAACAGGAUUAGAUACCCCCGUAGUCCCUGUCUCUUAUAC